AUUUUGGGGAUGGGUUUCUCAGGCUGACCUCAAGUUUAGUCUUCCAAACUACUGGGGUUACAGGGGUGGACCAGCAUACCUGGCUUUAACAAUUAAUUUUAAAAUAAGUUGGUCAUUCUCCCACGACACCAUCCUGAGUCAUUCCACCAGCAUAGAGUCAAGAGUGCUCAGAGUAACCACGCUGAACAACAGUGACACCCCAUCAUUAGGGAAAGUUCAAGUAUGUAAAGAACAUCCCCUAGCAGUUGGGAAAAGUCCACUUAAUUCUUUUGAAUACAACAGGCCUUUGGCUAUGUUUCUUUUUCUUGUCAAACACUGCACGGAAGAGGUUGGGAACGGUGCCAAGAGGCUUUCAACUCUACCACCCUGUAAACAUGAUUGCAUUAUCAGUAUAUGAAGACGUCACAAACAUGGCCAGGGCUAUGGUACCUCUCAGUAUGGCAGGGGUGGCCUGAUAAUAAGAGUCAGAAGACAUAGGCACAUUAUAGGCUCCCACUUGGUCAUUAUUGAUCAGUCCAGUUCAUUAUCACAUCAAAUGUAUAAAAUGUCUCCCAGGGCAAGACCACCAGACUUUCUGGCUUCCACUGGAUUUAGGUUUUAAAAUAGAAGUUGUCCAGCCAUAUGGGGCCUCACCAUUUUGGGUAACUGGUAUGACUCAACUAAGAGACAAUAGCAUAUCUUGAUUGAGAUUUAUUCAAAAUGUUAACAUAAUAUUGGAUCUCUCAGAUGGUAUAACCCAUGCAUUCAUCCCUUUACUCACAGCUCUUAGAUAUUUUCCAUCCUUGUGAGAAAUACACAGGGAAAACACUUUGCUGGACUCUAUUCCUAGCAUCAGAAUUCUAGUUCAGCCAGUGGCUCCCCAUGAGUCCCUUCCCCUUUAUUCAGUGUGGGAAUAUGUGGAUGCAAAGCAAGUGGGCUAGCUCAGCCACUAUGUAACCACCAUAUUGACUACAAACCCCAUUUUUUCCAGAUGGGGUGAAAGCAAAACCCACUGGAUCAGACCCUAUGAAAUUGUAACAUCAAGGUUUAAAAAUCAAAAGGAUAUAAGAACAAUGAGACCACCUUGGUCUCCACAUGGAAAGAAUGACUCAUUUUACAAGAAUCUCCUCAUGAAAAAAA
rnacentral:lncRNA from 1 species